rfam:Ovis aries breed Texel chromosome 6, whole genome shotgun sequence.
UAGCUAAGUCAGUAAAGAAUCUGCCUGUAAUGCAGGAGACCUAGGUUCAAUCCCUGG